GCGGGUCCAGGUGAAGACGCAUCUUCGCUUGGUCCAGGUGCUCCUGCUGGUGGUGCUGGUGGACCCAACAACGCUGGUGAUGGUGCUGGAGCACCGUGCUUCUUCUUGUUCUUCUUUCCCUUGCUUGGUGCUGGAGCUGGAACCGCCGGUGUGGUGGUUGGAGCAGCCACUGGUGUCACUGCUGGUGGUGAGCUGACUGGAGCAGGUGUGGGUGGUGAUUUCACAGGAACUGGUGCUGGUGGUGGAGUGCUGACUGGUGUCACCGCCGGUGGUGAUGAGGCCGCCGGAGGUGUGGCUGUUGGAGCAGCAGCUUUGGGGGAUGUAGCUGGAGGAGAUGAUUUGGGAGAAGCAACAGGAGCUGGUGUUGUUGGUGUAGUAGGAGGUGCUGCCACCGGAGAUGAAACAGGAGUGGUGGCAGCCGGAGUUGAUGGUGAGGUUGUUGGUGCAGCGGAAGGUGACUGGCCUCCGACGCCGGCGACGAUAAUGCAGAUGAAUGCGAGGGUGAAGAGAUUGUUACGAUCCAUAUUGAAAGUUUGAAAGCACUGUGUGUUUAUUUCUUUGUUUGUUGAGUUGAGAGAGAAAGAGAAGAGUGAGUGAGUGAGAGAGG
rnacentral:lncRNA from 1 species